GUUAUAAUUUAUUACGGUAUAGUACACCCUACAAGUAUUUUUUAGAGCACACGUGGGAUGUGUCCAAAAGUAUAGGAACAUCCCUUAUAGAGCAGGACCAUACAGCUUUAAACAUUGAUCCAAUUGCACAACUGUCCACUGUAAUAUAAAAUAUAAAAUAUACACAUUCUACAUAAACAAUAUCAUGAUAAUAUAAAACAGUAAUAUAUAUAUAUAUGUACCAACAAUAUUAUAAUUAUAUGGUAAUAUAGACAUUGUGUCACUGCAUAUAGUAACUGUUAAUUUUAAUCACGUUUACAAUCUUUAGACACUUCACAUCAGCUGUUAAUAAUCUGUUGGACUGUUCAUAGGAUUUAAGAGAUGCAAUUCCAAAAUUGUCCACAAGAUGGCAGUCCAGUGUGCAGGCCAUCCAUCCAUCUUCAACCACAUACUCCUUUUCAGGGUUACGGUGAACCUGGAGCCUAUCCCAGGGAGCAUCGGGCACAAGGCACAAGGCGGGGUCCACCCUGGACAGGGUGCCAAUCCAUCGCAGGGCACACAAUCACACAUACACUCACACACCCAUUCAUACACUAUGGACACUUUGGACAUUCCAAUCAGCCUACCAGGGCCAUGCCAAUCAGCCAAUCAGCCUACCAUGCAUGUCUUUGGACUGGGGGAGGAAACUGGAGUACCCGGAGGAAACCCCCGUAGCACGGGGAGAACAUGCAAACUCAUAUCACUUCUGAUAAGCUUUCUCCACUUUGGAUGAGCAUAGAGACACCAUUAAAAAAUUUCCUGAGUCUAGAGAAAAUGUACAGUUUAUCACUUGAAUUACAUUUAAAACGCAGUUGUCAUAUGUACUGUCACUAGCCACUAUUAAUUUUAAACUCAUGCUUACAAUGUUUAGUGACAUUCACAGCAGGGAAUAGUCUCUUGGUCUGUACUAAAGAUUUAAAAAGGUAAUAGAUCCAAUUGCACAACUGUGCACCAUAUGUAAUAUAUACAUUCUACAUAAACAAUAUAAUAAUAAUAUAAAAUACAGUUAUACACACACACACACACACACA
ensembl:lncRNA